rnacentral:rRNA from 1 species
GAUGAACGCUAGCUACAGGCUUAACACAUGCAAGUCGAGGGGAAACGAUAGGGAAAGCUUGCUUUUUCUAGGCGUCGACCGGCGCACGGGUGAGUAACGCGUAUCCAACCUGCCCAUCACUUGGGGAUAACCUUGCGCAAGUAAGACUAAUACCCAAUGACGUCUCUAGAAGACAUCUGAAGGAGAUUAAAGAUUUAUCGGUGAUGGAUGGGGAUGCGUCUGAUUAGCUUGUUGGCGGGGUAACGGCACACCAAGGCGACGAUCAGUAGGGGUUCUGAAAGGAAGGUCCCCCACAUUGGAACUGAGACACGGUCCAAACUCCUACGGGAGGCAGCAGUGAGGAAUAUUGGUCAAUGGACGAGAGUCUGAACCAGCCAAGUAGCGUGCAGGAAGACGGCCCUAUGGGUUGUAAACUGCUUUUAUAAGGGAAUAAAGUGAGUCUCGUGAGACUUUUUGCAUGUACCUUAUGAAUAAGGACCGGCUAAUUCCGUGCCAGCCGCCGCAGUAA